rnacentral:rRNA from 1 species
GAUGAACGCUAGCGGCAGGCCUAAUACAUGCAAGUCGAACGGGAUCCAGAUCAAAGCUUGCUUUGGUUUGGUGAGAGUGGCGUACGGGUGCGUAACGCGUGAGCAACCUACCCUUGUCAGGGGGAUAGCCCGGCGAAAGUCGGAUUAAUACCGCAUGACAUCAUUGAGAGGCAUCUUUCGAUGAUCAAAGAUUUAUCGGACAAGGAUGGGCUCGCGUGACAUUAGCUAGUUGGUAAGGUAACGGCUUACCAAGGCUACGAUGUCUAGGGGCUCUGAGAGGAGAAUCCCCCACACUGGUACUGAGACACGGACCAGACUCCUACGGGAGGCAGCAGUAAGGAAUAUUGGUCAAUGGACGGAAGUCUGAACCAGCCAUGCCGCGUGCAGGAAGACGGCCCUAGGGGUUGUAAACUGCUUUUAUACGGGAACAAACGUCGGUACGUGUACCGGUCUGAGUGUACCGUAAGAAUAAGGAUCGGCUAACUCCGUG